rnacentral:misc_RNA from 1 species
GCUGCUCCAGCCCAGCGAAUUUUCCGGUUCCAUCGUCGAACGCUCGCGAGGUAUACCGGAAUUGUGCUUGGCUUUUUCGCAUGCUCUCUCCGCCGCUAGCUGGCGUCCCGUCGGCGGCGCUGAGGUCGUCGCUGGAAGGAAGUCGCCUUCUAGCUCUGUGGCGAGUCUUUGAGGGUCAUGUUGAUGCCUUGGCGGCGGCCCUUUAUGGCUUGAGCCGCUACUCACCUUUCCCAUUCGAAGUAACGGUGGUCGUUAUUGUUUUUGGCUGCAUAGCGAUCCGCCAAGUCGUGCGGUGGUACUCCUCUGACGUCCCCACGAAGCAUGCCUACGUCUACUGGAAGCUGCACGAUCCCAUCGAAUCGGCUUACUACACCCCAUACCUGCCGUCGAACCACAUGUGCACAGCACUCCUGCUCUACAUGGCGCGAAAGCUCUGGCAGGAAAAGCCCCUCACCGCAGCCGAGUUGCGGAACAAGUCGUUUAUGAUCAACCUGCUCUCCCUCUACUCCAAACCCAGCGAAGCAGAGCUCUACGGCGAUGUCGAAGGGCCGAUGUUUUUGUUCCGCGAGAAGCUGAUGGUGCCAGUGAAGCUGCCCAUGUACCCCUUCUGGACAUCGACGCAUCAGGAUGGGGUGGAGGUGUGCGCAUCGAUUUCGAUGCCGCGGACCAAGAACACCGACUCUGCAGCGCGCCGCAGUGUUUUUCUCCGCGUUCGCAAGGAUGGAUCCCCCGGCGGCGGCGCUGCGGCCGACGCCGUGCUGCGACGCUUUGUCGAGGACGCGUUGAAAUUCUACUUCGUCAACGGCUAUGUUGACACGGAACACUGCGACCUGCGCAUGUACUGCCCCACGGUGACAGCCCGACAUGUCAUGGUGAAGAGCGUGCCACUUCCACUCGGGCCGACGCUAGAUACCGUGUUCUUUCCACAGCGCGAGCACGUCAAGUCGUUGCUCGCGCGCUUCGCGGAGAAGACGGGACGCUACGCGAUUGAGGGCUUCCCUCACAAGCUUGGGUUUCUGCUGUACGGCCCCCGCGGCACCGGCAAGCGCUCGCUCGUUCGUGCACUUGCCUACCACACCCACCGCCACAUUGUCCGCAUCCCCCUCUCUAGUUUUACGCGAGGCGACCAUCUCUUCAAAAUGUUUUACUUUGAGUCUGUGCUGACGAGCAGCACGGAGGAGUGGGCGCUGCUGAGCAGCAAGAAGGUCAUCUUCCUCAUCGAGGACGUCAACACCAACGACGACCUUGUGCGGGCGCGUGCAAGCGAGCACGUGGUGCGCGUACGCCGGCCCCACGGGCUGACGACCUUAAGCUCGCAGCAGGCGACCACGGAGAGCGGCGGAUCCAAGGCGCUCGUCGCUGCGAAGCCAGCUUCGCAGGACUGCAUCUCCCAAGCGAGUGUGCAGGAGACAGUGAAGGUGGUUACCCGAACAGCCGAACGGGCGCCGCCGCCGACGUCGGUGCCAGACGCGGUUGGUUCUAGAAAGUCGCUUCUGUGCCAAGAAACUGGUGGGGACAGGCUCAGCCUCUCCUCCUUGUUGAAUAUUCUGGACGGCGCAGUGGAAGACUCGGAUCGGAUUGUGGUCAUGAUAGCGGAUCACCCGGAGCGCCUCGACCCCGCACUGCUUCGACCAGGGCGUCUCACGACGCAUCUCCGAUUUGACUACAUCGAGCUGGACGAUCUGAUCCGUCUUUGCGGGCUCUUCUUCGGCUCCGAGUGCGGCGAGGUACCAGGUACUCUGACUGCCACCGGGGAGGCGACCCCACAGAAACCGACGACGGGCUACAGCUAUGGUCGCAUGGAAGCCUCUGCCGCCACUCUACCGCAGAAAGUUCACGAUGGGUUGCUAGAGGUGAAUGAACGCUGUCGCGCCGAGCUGCAACCGGCUGUCGCACGCGCUUCGAAGGACACAGAGGACGACGCAUGUCGUCUGCAGUGGCUUCGUCAGGGGCUCUCCGCAUCGGCGGCGGAUGCCAAUGCCAAGAAGAAGGUUAUCCAUCAACUCUCCAGAAAGCAAGCGGCCCAGGUGCGUUCGUGCAUCGCAGCCUUGGAGGAGGAGGCGUCUUCGCAGGCGCCUGAAGCUCGACAGAGAGCCUCGUACAACUUCUUGAUAACGCCCUCGCAUGUGCAUCACCUGUGCAUGCGCGCCGCUGGCCUGAACGACUUUCUUGACGCCCUCUCUGCGUAUAUUCGUAACGGGAGCAGCAGUGGAGCCGGCAUCAAGGGCAGCUCAGACUAGACAGGAUAGCGCACGCGCCGUGAUGUGUGUACGGUGCACCGUUAGGAUGCGAUCCAUGUACGUUGUGUGUAUGUGUGUGUGUGUGUGUGUGCAUGCGUGUGUUUGCAGCUUUAGGGAUCUCUCAGGUACGGCGGAGCACUACGCGCAGACACGCGUUGCAAUGCAUCAUUUUGUUGUUGUUGGUGUCACCAUUUGUGUUGUCGUUUGCCGCCGCCUCGCAUUCUUUGGGUUGUUUUUUUUGUUGUUGGUUUUUGGUCUCCGUUUGUGAGAGAGUGGGGAGUGCACGUGUACUCCUUCCUCUCCUCCCUCACACGGACGUCUCUCCCGUGUUUUUGUUUUCGUUUUUGUUGUAAAGAAGGCAGCACAAACAACAUCCGAACACAGAAGAAGAAAAUCUGUGUGUUUUUUAUUUUAUUUUCCGUUCUCCCACUGCUUCACUCCCUCCCUCUCCACCUGUGUGAGCACGUCCACUUCCUCAUAAUGCUACGGCCGCUCUUUCCUUCUCUUUACGUGGCGCGACAGACAAACGAAAAAUAUCCAUGUAGGAGGGUAGUCACAUCUGUCGCCCUGUCCAACUGCGUCGCUCUCGCUCUCUCUGGCCUUGAGCGAGUCCCUGCGCGUGUGUUUAUGUGUUGGUAUCCGUGUGUGUGGUUUGCGUUUGCUGAGUCUACAAG